ACAAGGGACUUAGUCCCACCCCACUAGCAAUAAAAAAACUCACUUACUGACUUACCCUCAUACAUCAAAUAAUGUACCUGCCACUGGAAUUUAUUAACCCUUUGCUGAGCCAUUUAAAUUCAUUCUAUCCAGACACUAUCAGACAAUUAAAUUAAACUAACACUCUUAUACUCUGAUUUAGUAUAUUAGCAUUUCAAAUCUGUCAUAGUACAUGUAUCAGGCUGCUUGCCUUACCAGGAAAUCAACAAUGGUACAUCUACUAGUGUAACCUUAAAAAUUUAUUAAAAGUACCUGCAAUAUUGACACAGAUGUUUCACUGCCCAACAUCAAUGUGAAGCAGUGCCACCUACAGGAACUGUAUUUACUGUUACAACUACUCAGUUUGUAUAUUCUUUGUCAAUGAAUGCCCAAGCCCCCCCCCCUCCAAUCUGAACCAUUCUUAUGUCCAAAUGGAUUAAGUAGAGGCCAUGUACUGUUCUAAGAAUGAUACAGAGUCUGAGUUCAUCUCAUAAUAUUUACAUCACUGAUAUUGCUCAAUAUUUGAAAGUGGGCAAUCUUCAUUUAUCAUUGUGCAUGCUUGUGCAACUUUUCCUUACAUGUGCAAAAUUUCACAAUUCAUAUGCCAGAACUGAUGAAAUUAUGAAUUUUUUCUGGCUCCUUUCAACCCUCCAGCAAAGGAAAAGGGGUUAUUUAAAUAAGCACUGGUUACAAAAUGUCAUGAAUGGCAGUAUAUGUUGGAUUUAAUGUUCUCACAGUUCACACUACUUGUAAUGUCACAUAGUUUGGCAGAAGUCCAUUGAUGUUUCAGAGGAAUAUAUCGCCUCCACCUUCAGUGUUGAAAAGUAAGCCAAGCAAGAAACCAGACAUAAGCAGGUGGCAAAUGGAGUGAACUUCCUUUAGAAAAACCUGCCACAAGGGAACUAUGGCAGUGUUAAACUUCUAAUGAAUUAUACGAUGUUACAACUAGAUGAUCAUAACUCCAUAACAAAGUAUAUUUAACAUUACUAUGUUGUAAUAUGUCAGGCACAACAAAGAGUUAACUACUGUGUGGCAAGUGGCCACAUGUAAGAUUUCCCUGCUUCAGCAAUUAAUUUCUAUAGUGAAAGGCACAGCAUCUUAAAGCAGAAUUCCCUUCAUUACUUCUUUUUUUUUUUUCUUUUCAGUGCUCAAAAUAUACUGUGAUGAUUUUGAUGUUUAUGUUUUCACACCCUGCAAUUUCUAUAGGAUAAUCUAGUCUCUGCAUUUUUGUUACUACAGUGAUCACAAUAUUAAAGUAUUUGAUCUUUUGUGAUUUCCUUCAAAAAAUAUCUUGAACAGCCUGUCUAACCAUAUUUAAAUGACAACAGGAUUACAAAUGAGCCAUGUUUAUGUUCGUAUGGUGCAGGAAAGAGUCAGGCAGCCAGGUAUCAUUAUUGUGCUUCAUGAUUUUUUGGUGUUAUUUGUUAUUAAAUAUUUUGUUUUUAUUGAGAUGCUGACUUUUCUUGAGUAAUGUUUAAAGCUUGGACACCCCAGUUCAGCAGGGGAGCACUGAGAACACAACACUGGAACCAGAGACAAAGGCAGCAAUCAUCCCCAAAACUGUAAGGUAAAAGGGGAGGAGCUGCUACCAACAACUUUAGGGAGACCAUAUGUGGAAGUUGUUGGGACAGACAAGAGAUGGAAGAAAAAAGGAGAUAAAAAUCUGAAAGUGAUACAGGAAAGGAGGAGGAGGAGGAGGUUAGCCCCCAUCAAAUUUGAUGUGCAAUCACUACAGUCAGUCCCACUGACAGGAAGAAACGGUCAACUUACUGGAAAAUCGAAUAACAGCUUGGCUCUGGUCUGAACUCUUCAAUCCCUUUGAUUGCUGCUGGUCACACUGGAAGUUGAGUUUACGGCUCCGUG